rnacentral:lncRNA from 1 species
AAGACCACGAAGAAGCAGCCCCUUCGCUUCUCCCGACCCGCUUCUCUAACGCAGAAGUGCGGCAAAGGCCCCGCUGAGCGCGGUUCAGGUGACUCUGAGACUGUUUAGAUUAGUUAAGGGGGGGUAAGCUGCCCUCGGCUCUACAUUGUAUUUCCAAGUUUGAUGCCUACAUCCAGUUCCCAAAUUGAACUUCCAGAUCCCGGAUUCGAAACUACCGGCUCCCAGAGUUGCCAGUUCGAAUCUAACAGCUGUCUGUACUCUGAUUUCCCCGACCUUCCCAGCGCUCCAAGUUCAAAUUCCAACCCCAACCGAAGUUCCCAGGCGACUCCUCCAGACCCUGGUCCACUAGCAAACCUUCCCCUGAUCUCGACUUCGAGUUUCCUCUGCGCCUCGGAAGGAUUGGGGUGGGGAUGGCGAAAAUGGGGACACCUCGCCUCUAAUUCCGCACAAGGGACUCAGGGCUGGGGGUAAAGUGGUGUGGACCGAAGCGGAGGCGCGGCAGAGGGAAGCAGUGACCCGGCCGGNNCCCGCCUCUAAACUUAGCCGCCGUGACGCGCGGCCGGGCUAUCGCGGCGGGGCCGGGGACGCAGGGGGGCCGGAGCGGAGGGGGAGCGGCUCCGCUCCGUGAGCCUCUAUUUAUAGCGCCCGGAACCCGAAAUAGCGAGGAGCGGAGCGGCCGGGAUGACGCGGAAGCCGCCGGGGACUGACUCACCCGGGCCCCGAGCGGCGGCCCCCGGAUGGGGGACAGUGGAGGCGCCUGGACCGGACCCCCGCCAUCCCGGACACUUCUUCUGCCUGGACAUCCCAAGUUUCCACGUGGCACUGUGGAUGGAUAUGCAGCCAAAGGAGGAGCUGCAGCAUGAGACCGAGGUUCGCGGUGCUAAGGGCCAUCCCUCACAAAUUAAACUCUGGGCCUUGCUGGAUGGGGAGCCCUUUGAAGGCAGAGCCAGGCCCUUCUCGGUCAUCGCCAUGUCCCCAGCACUGACCAGCACAAGACUGGCCUCUGGAGAAACUAACUGCAUGAAUAAAAAGUGGUAAUAAAAUAAAAUGGUGUUUCCCAAGCUACUAACAGCAAAAUGUUUACUGUACACUGCAUGCCAGAUGUAAUUUGAGGAGGAAUCUAAGGGUCUUGCUAUAACCUUAGGAUGGAGGUACUUUUAUUAUUUUCAUCGGUACCAUAUUCAUGUUUUUUGUUUUGGUUUGGAGAGUUUUUGGUUUUUGGUUUUUGGUUUGUUUGUCUUUUUAGGGCCGAACUUGUGACAUAUGUAGGUUCCCAGGCCAAGGGUCAAAUCAGAGCUGGAGCUGCAGCUGCAGCUGCUGACCUAUGCCACAGCCACACCAAUGCCAGAUGCAAGCCACAACUGCGACCUACGCCACAGUUUGCAGCAAUGCGGGAUCCUUAGCCCAAUGAGCAAGGCCAGCUAUCAAACCUGCAUCUUCAUGGAUACCAGACGGGUUCUUAACCCACUGAUCCACAGUGGGAACUCCAAUCUCCAUGUGAGAGAUGAAGAAACGAGAAUAUCUGAGAAUAGCUGAGCUCACCCUGCUUGCAGUC